rnacentral:rRNA from 1 species
GUAUCCUACGGGACGCAGCAGUGGGGAAUAUUGCACAAUGGGCGAAAGCCUGAUGCAGCAACGCCGCGUGAAGGAAGAAGGGUUUCGGCUCGUAAACUUCUAUCAACAGGGACGAAAGAAAUGACGGUACCUGAAUAAGAGGCCCCGGCUAACUACGUGCCAGCAGCCGCGGUAAUACGUAGGGGGCAAGCGUUAUCCGGAAUUACUGGGUGUAAAGGGUGAGUAGGCGGCAUGGUAAGCCAGAUGUGAAAGCCUUGGGCUUAACCCGAGGAUUGCAUUUGGGACUAUCAAGCUAGAGGACAGGG